AUAAGUAAGRCSGGAGGGAUAAGAAACUAAAUAGGAUCCCUCAGUAAUGGCGAAUGAACAGGGAUAAGCUCAGCAUGGAAAUUGGGGCCCUCGGCCUUGAAUUGUAGUCUUGAGAUGUGUUACCAACGGAGGCGCAGAUGUAAGCCUCUUGGAAAAGAGCGUCAGGGAGGGUGAGAGUCCCGUAUGUCAUCUGCAGUUCUCUGUGCACGGUGCAUGUUCUAAGAGUCACGUUCCUCGGGAUUGGAGCGCAAAUUGGGUGGUAAAUUUCAUCUAAAGCUAAAUAUUGGUUCGAGACCGAUAGCAAACAAGUACCAUGAGGGAAAGGUGAAAAGGACUUUGAAAAGAGAGUUAAAAGUGCCUGAAAUUGCUGAAAGGGAAGCGAAUGGAACCAGUUGUUCUUGGUGAGUAUUGGUGUUGUCUAAAGUGAUGGCUUGCCACUUCAACGCAAGUGUGGUGGCAGGUUUUGAUCUGGAUGCGAUACUGCUUCUCGCCUUGCAUGUCAACGUCAGUUCAUAAUUGAGGAAAACUCUAAGGACAUGGUAAUUCGCUUCCGAGUGACUGAAUGUCCUCAGUUGAACUCAUUUUUGAACUGCUCUCUGUGUGUCUGGUAGCACUGCUUCAUGUGCUUGCCUGCGAUCUUCUGCUCUGCAUGAAGGUUGUUGGUGCCAGGAGCAUGUCCUUGACAUUAGAACGAUGACGAAAUGGUUUUAUUCGACCCGUCUUGAAACACGGACCAAGGAGUCUAACAUAUGUGCAAGUUCACGGGCGGGAAAACCUGCUUGCGCAAUGAAAGUGACUGCUGGGAUUUUUGCACCAGCAACCGACCAAUCAAUUGUGAGAGGUUUGAGUAUGAGCAUAUCUGUUAGGACCCGAAAGAUGGUGAACUAUGCUUGAGAAGGGUGAAGUCAGGGGAAACUCUGAUGGAGGCUCGUAGCGAUACUGACGUGCAAAUCGUUCGUCAUACUUGGGUAUAGGGGCGAAGACUAAUCGAACCAU
rnacentral:rRNA from 1 species